rnacentral:lncRNA from 1 species
GCGUGGUGAAAUUAUAGGGAAGAAUGAGAAAGAUGGGCACCAAUUAUAAGGAGAUAGAUGGUUGAAAAUAUGCAAAGUAUGAUGUGAAGUAAAGAAUGGGUAAUGGGACACGAAACAAAACUGAGAAGAUGGUUGAUGGAAUUGAAAACUUGAUGGUAACCCUUGUCUAGCCAUAUAUGUGCAUGCAAUUCAAAAGUUCCUGAUUAAAUUUAAAAGGGCUCUUCUGUAUUAUUCACUGCAUGCAAUGAAGGUACUUCUCACAUUUAAUGUUGGUAAAAUUGAUUGGGUAGUGUUUCUGCU